rnacentral:rRNA from 1 species
AACGAACGCUGGCGGCAUGCCUAACACAUGCAAGUCGAACGAGACCUUCGGGUCUAGUGGCGCACGGGUGCGUAACGCGUGGGAACCUGCCCUUAGGUUCGGAAUAACUCCCCGAAAGGGGUGCUAAUACCGGAUAAUGUCUUCGGACCAAAGAUUUAUCGCCUUUGGAUGGGCCCGCGUUGGCUUAGCUAGUUGGUAGGGUAAAAGCCUACCAAGGCGACGAUCCAUAGCUGGUCUGAGAGGAUGAUCAGCCACACUGGGACUGAGACACGGCCCAGACUCCUACGGGAGGCAGCAGUGGGGAAUAUUGGACAAUGGGCGAAAGCCUGAUCCAGCAAUGCCGCGUGAGUGAUGAAGGCCUUAGGGUUGUAAAGCUCUUUUACCCGGGAUGAUAAUGGCAGUACCGGGAGAAUAAGCUCCGGCUAACUCCGUG